CAGAACAAGAAUACUGAUUUUCAGAAUCAUUGAGAUCUUUAGAUUUGUGAAGAGAGGGGAAAGGAGAGCAUGUUUUUGGCAUAAAACAACAACAAACAAACAUCAACAACAUGUACACAAACCAAAGCACAGCUGCGGAGGGUCAUCAAUAUUGAGGCUGAUACCUUUUUAUCUCUCUCUCUGGUCUUUUUUAUUAGCAAUGCGCAAAACGUUCUGAUAGCAGCUUUUCAUUUUCCACUGGUUUACCUGACAAAUCACCAUAAAUAUGAGGGGUCAUGAGGUGAUUCAAGUUCUUCUAAACAAACUGGUAUUCAUAUUUUGGACUUUAGAACCAUUUUAGAAGUUCAGAGGGAAAAUGUCCCUUUGUCUUAUCUUCAGUCAACUUAACUGAUUAUUUUUUUUACAGGUCUCUCAAAAAAAUCAGCCAGCUGCAGCUGAUUCAGAACGCUGCUACUCGAAACCUUACUAAGACCAAGGGUGGAUGACAUCACUCCAGUUCUGAGAUUCAAUAAAAUCCAUUGAAGCCCAACCCUAGUGGUGAAGCGGCGGGGUCCUACCUGUGCCAGCAUGCUGGGCUGGAUGUGAAGGGACUGGGAUGACUGGUUCUGAGGAACUAAGGGUACUGAGUUGUCCAUUCUCACUGGAUAACCAGAGGUCUUAUUGGAUGUUUGAAGACCUAUUAGGAAAAGGUUGGAGAACAACUGGUAAUUUCAGACAAUAGACACUAACAUCUUGCAUUCUCACCCUGGAUGGUGGGGGGGCAAACUAUGAGUGUUUGCUGGAAGGGCUCAGUCUGGGUGCAGAGCUGGGUGGGUCUGGUCUGCAGGGGUACACCCUGCUGGGUUAGGCCAGGGAUGUUUAUGGUGGCCUGCUGGUAGAGGCCAGGCUGGUAGUUCAGCAAUGGGACAUUACUGCUUAGGGACAGGGACUGGCCUCCUGCAGAGGCCAUCUAUAAGACACAGCAUGCAGAAAAUACUGUAUUCAAUGCCUGAAAGAAUGAGUUGUGCUCAGCAAGAAAGUCAUGGGGCCUCAUUCAACAAAGCAUCCGUAGAUUAAGUUAUAAAUAUAUGCAUAAGAACUGUCAGUACAAACCAGAAAAUUGGUAUUUAUCAAACAUGCACAGGUAACUUCAUGCAAUGAACAAUGAUAAAUCUCAUCUGUUCUACAUCCAGCUGCACCUGCAUGUGGACAGACACACAGAAAUGCCCCCUGAAUACCAAAGAAGGUUUUCAUGGAAAAAAGUAGCAGCCAAGAAAGACUGAGACAAAAAAACAUCACAGACAACAAGGUUAAGACACUGUACCCAAGAGCAGGCGUCUGGGAAAGUUUCACAAUCUUACGCCAAACUUAUGGACAAAAGUCUAAUAUUUGUUCCUGCAUUGUCAAUGGUUUUAUUUUGUAUCCCACUAUUUCCACACUACAUUUGUUGUUAUAUAAUUAGUUAUUAUGAACAAAUGUAGUUAGACUGCGAGCGCUGCGGUAUGCACGAUUCGUCAAAUGCAUUGAAAUAACGUUGCGCUUAUUAUCUAUGAACAACAAGAUCACUACAGUAAUAUUUUCACAAUAAAUUUCAAUAAACAAAACUGUUUAAAUUUGAUAUUUCCAUAAGUGGCUUGUACAAAGAUAAAUAAGAUACAGAACGGGGGAAGAUGAUUUCAAUUGACGUGAUGGUCAACUGUAGUACCACUUUAUUGCAAUUACAGAUUUGUUUUAAUUUGUUUUUUAAUUGUUGCACUUUUAGCAUAAAAGAACAUAUAUGCAGCUUAGUUAAAUCAAUCAAAAUGAAAGGUACUAAAGCAUAAUACUUCAUAAGUAAUACAGAUUAAUCCAAUUGAAUGUCACUAAUAGCUCUGUGUCUUUCAUAUGCAGCCACAAGUGCUCAGUGGUGCAGUACUAGAGACAAGCAAAAAUAGAGGCAAUAAUUGAAAUACAUUUUUACCUUGUAGUUCAAAAAAAAAUGGAAAUUCACGUGUUCAGGAACGCACACUCUAGCACAAGAAGAAAUCAGAUUCUAUGCGUAGAAAAGAGCAUGCACAUGGUGUCAGCGUACACACGGUUGACAAAUGAGGCCCCAGAGACAUAACUUUAUAAAGCAACUGACAUAACCUGCCAAGUAAAAACUGAAUCAACAAGAAUAAUGUUAUAAAAAACAAAAUGACCCUGAAGCAGAUUAGAGCAAAAGUUCUCACCUGAUUGUGCUGGUUUAGUUGGCUACUGAAGGUGACAGUGAGGUUGGUGGCUGCACUUGGGGUAUUGUUGCUAGCAAACAUAUUUUUUCCGUUCUCAAAGGCGCUGCAUCUGCGUUUGCAUAUAUCCAUAUUUUGGAAGCAGGACUUCACACUACAAAAAAGUAAAAAAUAUCAAACAGGCGCACAGGUUGAAUCCUGGGCACUAGCGUGCAAUGCUAAACCACAGUAUUCAUUUCAACUGAUCAUAACUACAAAAACAUAAAUGUAACACCUCUACUGAUCAUCUUUGAAAACCUCUACAGCUGAGCAUCAGAACAAUCCUGAACUUGUUGGCUUACUGUGAGCUGUGAGGGAAGUGCAGCAGGUGAGUCAUGGUAACAAAGGGGUGGUUCAGUGUCUUCAUGGGCGUGAUCCUUUUGUCCGCAUCUAGUGUCAACAUCUUCUUUAGCAGGUCUAUGAACUCCCGCCUGUCUGCCUUCUCUGCCAAGAUGUCAGUCCCCUCCAGACUCGUCAUGUUCACCUGCAGAGGGGAACAGGAAGUUCGUCAAACUCCAAUGUGUGAAAGGUCCAGGUGUGGUGCAGCUGACCUGGUCAUACUCUGAGGCACCAGGAUAAAGGGGCCAUCCCAAGAACAGCUCAGCAAUGACACAUCCCAAAGACCACAUGUCGAUCGCUUCACAGAAAGGAAGUCCCAGAAUGAUCUCCGGAGCUCUGCAAGCACACCACAAUUGCCAAAUUACAAGAUCACACAGCAGAUAGGUGGAGCAAACUGCUUUGGACACGUGGCUGGCAGAGCCGAAAUCAAUGACUUUCACUCGGUACGGCUGCCUCAGAGGAUCUACUAACAUGAUGUUUUCAGGCUUCAGGUCGGCGUGGAUCAGUCCCAGGCUUUUCAGCUUCAUCAGUGCUGUGGCGACCUGCUGCAGAAUAGGUCGUAUACACUUGAGCAGCAGCGGGCUGAACUUGCUGUGCUUCAGGAAGUCGUAAAGGUUCUGCUCCAGCAUCUCAAACACAAGGCACGUGUGGUUCUUGUGCUGGAAACACUCGUAUGAGCGGACAAAGUUGAACUCAUCGGCGUUCUCUGUGCUCAGCCUGCUAAGGAUGCUCACCUGUAGGGAGGAGGGAGAGGAAGACGAAGAUAUUAUGAUAUUCAUUAAUGGAUAAUACUGAAGACCCUUUGUUUUUUUCACUCAGCUAAAAUCAAAUAGAUUUGAGUUUUUUUGCCUGUAUGUCCACAGGUUUUCAACACUAGAUACUGUAUCUAUAUAUGAAGGGACAGAGGAGAGUGUCAGUGCUCCGGGAAUAUAACAGCCAUGCUGGCAUACUAAACCUUGGUACUGUAUUAAAACAAGUACUUACAAUGCAAAACGAGAAAAGUUCAUGGAUUUUGUCAAGUCAAGAUUAUUUAUAAAGCACAUUUAAAAACAACCAGAGUUGACGAAAAUACUAAUGUGUGUCAAUCCUAUUGUUUUUGUCAACUUCUAUUUGGUGUAAUUGUGUUCUGUCGACCGAUGUCGGUUUUUCAAUGGCAGAUUCUGAUAUUUAGAGAGCAAUGUCAACUUCCAAGUUGUAAUUAAAACUGGCAAAAUGUUUCUGAAAGCUCAGAUAUAUCUGACAUGACACUAAUACUGAAGUGCAAAAACGAAUACAAAUAUGGACGCCUCCAAACAACCAAAGACCAUCAAUUUUCAAUGUGAUGUUGUUAUUUUGUCAGUGUACAGUAUUUUAAUCCUCACAAGACCAACUCUGAAAUCACAGCAUGGCAAUCUUUCCCAUCUCUACCAUCCUUCCUACAAGACAUGAAUGUGGCAUGAUCUUUUUUGUGCCUUAUGUUUGUUUACAUUUUGUCAGAUUUGCACCAUUAGUCGUCAUGCUGAAUUAGCACUGCACCUAUGGAUGUCCAAACAAUUACAGUUUAAUGGAUGUUAAUAUAAAGGGAAUUGGAUGCGAAGGGUUAGAGAAUAAUCGAGUGGGUAACAACAGGUUGGUGUAUGUGGGAUUGUGUCAAAAUAAACUACGCUGCCCAAGUUUACUGUUAUAAAGGAAUAUGUCAUCCCUGGAGUUUUUA